ACAACUUUCAACAACGGAUCUCUUGGCUCUCGCAUCGAUGAAGAACGCAGCGAAAUGCGAUAAGUAAUGUGAAUUGCAGAUUUUCAGUGAAUCAUCGAAUCUUUGAACGCACCUUGCGCUCCUUGGUAUUCCGAGGAGCAUGCCUGU
rnacentral:rRNA from 1 species